rnacentral:RNase_P_RNA from 1 species
AGUAAGUCGGACAGUCGCGUGGGUCUUCCCACGAGGAAAGUCCGGGCUCCGCAGAGCAGGGUGCCGGAUAACGUCCGGUGGAGGCGACUCUAAGGAAAGUGCAACAGAAAGCAAACCGCCUGACUUCUGUCAGGCAAGGGUGAAACGGCGAGGUAAGAGCUCACCGGCGGUAUGGUGACAUGCCGGCCAUGUAAACCCCACCCGGAGCAAGAUCAAGCAGGACCACAAAAGGCGGUUGCUCGUCGCCGGUCCGGUAGGUGGAUCGCUGGAGCCUGUCGGCAACGACAGGCCUAGAUAGAUGGCUGUCUAAGACAGAACCCGGCUUAUAGAUUUGCUCA